rnacentral:rRNA from 1 species
AGCAGUAGCCACGGUAAUACGUAGGUGGCAAGCGUUGUCCGGAAUUAUUGGGCGUAAAGGGCUCGCAGGCGGUUUCUUAAGUCUGAUGUGAAAGCCCCCGGCUCAACCGGGGAGGGUCAUUGGAAACUGGGAAACUUGAGUGCAGAAGAGGAGAGUGGAAUUCCACGUGUAGCGGUGAAAUGUGUAGAGAUGUGGAGGAACACCAGUGGCGAAGGCGACUCUCUGGUCUGUAACUGACGCUGAGGAGCGAAAGCGUGGGGAGCGAACAGGAUUAGAUACCCCGGUAGUCCCUGUCUCUUAUAC